rnacentral:rRNA from 1 species
GACAGAGGGUGCAAACGUUGUUCGGAAUUACUGGGCGUAAAGCGCGUGUAGGCGGCUAUGUAAGUCGGGCGUGAAAUCCCACGGCUCAACCGUGGAAGUGCACUCGAAACUGCGUAGCUAGAGUCCUGGAGAGGAAGGUGGAAUGCUUGGUGUAGAGGUGAAAUUCGUAGAUAUCAAGCGGAACACCGGUGGCGAAGGCGGCCUUCUGGACAGUGACUGACGCUGAGACGCGAAAGCGUGGGGAGCGAACAGG